AGAGUUUGAUCCUGGGCUCAGGACAAACGCUGGCGGCGUGCCUAACACAUGCAAGUCGAACGUCCUUUUGCAAGAGAGGGCGUGGCGGACGGGUGAGGAACACGUGGAUAACCUACCUUCCAGUGAGGGAUACCGGCGAGAAAUCGCCGACAAUACCGCAUAGGCUCUUUCGUGAGAGAGAGCAAAGCCGCAAGGCGCUGGGAGAUGGGUCUGCGUCCGAUUAGCUAGCUGGUGGGGUAAAGGCCUACCAGGGCGACGAUCGGUAGCUGGUCUGAGAGGAUGAUCAGCCACACUGGGAUUGAGAACGGCCCAGACUCCUACGGGGGGCAGCAGUGAGGAAUCUUCGGCAAUGGGCGCAAGCCUGACCGAGCAACGCCGCGUGCAGGAAGACGGCCUUCGGGUUGUAAACUGCUUUUCUGUGGGACGAGCAAGGACGGUACCACAGGAACCAGCCCCGGCUAACUACGUGCCAGCAGCCGCGGUAAUACGUAGGGGGCGAGCGUUGUCCGGAGUUACUGGGCGUAAAGGGUACGCAGGCGGUUCUGCGCGUUUGGGGUGACAGCUCCCGGCUUCACUGGGAGAGGACUCUAAAGACGGCAGAACUUGAGGGCUGGAGAGGGAACGGGAACUCCUGGUGGAGCGGUGAAAUGCGUAGAGAUCAGGAAGAACAUCAAAGGCGAAGGCACGUUCCUGGACAGCAUCUGACGCUCAGGUACGACAGCUAGGGGAGCAAACGGGAUUAGAUACCCCGGUAGUCCUAGCCGUAAACGAUGACCACGAGGUGUGGGAGGUAUCGACCCCUUCCGUGCCGCCUCUAACGAAGUCAGUGGUCCGCCUGGGGAGUACGGUCGCAAGAUUAAAACUCAAAGGAAUUGACGGGGACCCGCACAAGCAGCGGAGCGUGUGGUUUAAUUCGAUGCAACGCGAAGCACCUUACCAGGGUUUGACAUGCUCUCGCAGCGUGCUGAGAGGCGCGUACCCGCAAGGGACGGGAGCACAGGUGCUGCAUGGCUGUCGUCAGCUCGUGCCGUGAGGUGUUGGGUUAAGUCCCGCAACGAGCGCAACCCCCAUCGUCGGUUAUUGGUGUCCGACGAGACUGCCACGAUCAACGUGGAGGAAGGCGGGGAUGACGUCAAGUCAGCACGGCCCUUACAUCCUGGGCGACACACACGCUACAAUGGUCGGGACAAAGAGUUGCCAACCCGCGAGGGGGAGCUAAUCUCAGCAAACCCGAUCUCAGUUCAGAUUGCAGGCUGCAACCCGCCUGCAUGAAGGAGGAGUUGCUAGUAACCGUGGGUCAGCACACCACGGUGAAUACGUUCCCGGGUCUUGUACACACCGCCCGUCACACCACGAAAGUCGGCAACACCUGAAGCCGCUGGGCUAACCUCGUCAGAGGAGGCAGGCGUCGAGGGUGGGGUCGGUGAUUGGGGUGAAGUCGUAACAAGGUAGCUGUACCGGAAGGUGCGGCUGGGAUCACCUCCUU
rnacentral:rRNA from 2 species